GCUUGCAGAAUGCUCAGCAACGAAAUUAGGCUGUUUGUAUAAAUGAGCUUGCCUGUAAGUUGUAAGAUACUGAUCCCUCCUGUCCUGUGGGCAUCUGGAGUUCCUAUUUUAGUUGUCAUUGCUGACACUGGUUUCAUUUGCUGUACAAAUAUUUCCAUUUCAUGAAAAAAGAUGAGGAAGCACUAAAAGACAGGAAGUGUUACUAGAAUUAGAACGUGAGAGAGGGCAACACUGGUUGAGAUGUUCUUGGUUAUGGACCUAUGAGGAAGACCAUUAAUCAGAGAGGACUGGAGAAAUAUGUGGAAGAAGAAAAGAAGGGCAAUUGCAGCUAAGGUUUGCCUUACAUCUUGGAGGAGACUUGGAACUUGAACUUUUCAGCAGUGUACUGAAACUUUUAGGCUUUUGGUAACUCUUGCAGAUGGACCAAAUGCUUUUUGCAUAAAGGGAUGUGUAUGAGUCUUUGGAGUGUUGCUCCAGUGCCAUGCCACCAUGCCUUGGAGCCAGCCGAUUAUGGACCAAGAACUCCACAAACUGUGAGCUAAAUAAAUCUUUUCUUCCUUCAUUUUGGGUGUUGAGUAUUUUGUCUCAGCAAUGAGAGAAAAAUAACCAAGAUAAAGGUCCAUUCAUUUUCCUAUGAAUGACUCAAAUUCCUAUUCUUCAUGGCUGAGUAAUGCCUCUUGUGUAUAUAUAUCCUAUAUUUUCUUUAUCUGUUCAUCUAUUGAUGGGCAUUGAGAUUAUUUCCAUAAUUUAGCUUUUGCAAAUUAAUCUGCUAUAAAUAUGUAUGCAAACAUGACUUUCAUUCUUUUGGGUAAACAGCUAUAAGAGGUAUAGCUGGGUCAAAUGGAAUUUCUAUUUUUAGAUUUUUGUGGAUUCUCCAUACUGAUUUCCAUGCUGGUUGCACUAGUUUAAAUAAUUGUUAAAACUAUUGACUCGACUUGAAACAGUACUCAACUUUGCCCAUGAAGUGUCUUUUUCAAAAUACCUCAACAGACUAAGAGUGGCAAGGCAAAUGUGAAUAAGUGCUACAGUGAAGCAUAAAGUCAAAGUUUCAUUUUCCAGUGAAAUAGAGCGUCCUUAUGCCUACACUUCCUUCAGUGUCUUUCCAUGACUUUGGCUCUCUUGUCACUCACACUAAGGAGGAUUCAUGGAUUUCAGAUUUCCCUUUUCCUCUGUUCCCCAAAUCCUUUUUCUCCCUGAUCAUGACAGUCUUUGAACUUUUUCUUUUUGCUGAGAAUCUUCCUUAUUGCUGAUUCUUUUCUUUCUGCUUAUUCCCUCUUCACUUCAUCCUCACUGGUUAUCAUCCAAUGCUAUAAGAGAGUUUGAGGAUAAGAAGCAGAGAGAAUCAGAUUCAUUUGGCUAGAGCAGUGAUGGUGAACCACUUAGAGCUUUCAAUGAUAAAAAGAGCUGGCUGCAACAUGCAUGCUGUAGGUUCACCACCACUGGGCUAGAGAAAGGCUAGAUUAUUGGGUCAGCAGUGGCCCCUCUUGGCUUUCUCCAGCUGAACCAACUUUGUGACUUCUCUCUGACUCUUACCACCUUGCUGCCUUCUUUAUUAACUCAGAUCUUACAGGUAUGUAAUAACUGUUCUUUUUCUAUUGACAUGAGUUAAUCAAGAACAGAGACAUUUCAGUGACUGCUGUAUCCAGAGUAACUUUUGGAAUGCAAAGUACUUUCUUUUUCCAUUUACAGAACCAACAGCUGAGAGCCAGAAAUUCUCCAUGGGGCCCUGAUAACCACUCUUCACUCCCUCUGGCUUCUCACCUCCACAUCCCUCUACCCAACAAGUGUGCCAGACAGCACACUAUCUAGUGACUGUGGGCACCCCAGGGAGGUACAAGUUAAUCUUCAACCUGUUUCUACAAGGAGAUUGCUUUUCCUGAGCACAUUUUUGGGACAGUAUAAAUGUUUCAGGUCUGAUCACCCAGUAUUCCUUGUUUUGCCUAUGAUCUUUUCUUCCAUGAAUAGAUCUCUGUCUUAAUGAGCAGUCUCUGUAAGCCACAUUUGUUAUUCUAACUACACCAGUAACUAUUCCCUCCUUACCACAAUUCCUCAACCACAGGUCAGCACACACUACCCAUGCAUUUAGAGGUCAUUGCUCUGGGCACCAUGACACUUUGCCUGGGCAUGUUCAGGUGCACAGCCAGUGCUUCUCUGUCACAAGCCCAGCGCCCUGGGGCCCCAAAUACUCUCAAACAACAAAGUACUCUUGGUGGAAGUUGAACUUUGUUUCUUGUAUAGAAUUUUCAGGAACUAGGAGGACACAUGUUGGGACAUUUAAAAGUCACAUAAAACAGAUAAGUAACUCUAAUGUAAUCUUUUUAUUCUUAUCUUUAAUAUUUUUCUAUACAUUAAAAUAAAAGGGCAGUAUUCAAGUUCACUAGAACUAAUUACAAUUGAGUCCAAUUUCCUUGUGAAUGUAACAAAUGUUCAGAAGUUUUGUUUUCUGAGCUGACUUCAGAAUUUGAGGUUAGUAAUUCCUAGGGCACCAGCUAAUGCAAUAGUAAUCUAAAAGUGGCUGGGCUACUAUGGCCUCUUAUAAUAUGAUUGAGUCUCCCAAUAUAUUGCAUAAAUGAAUCUUAUCCUAAAAUCAAACACCAUAGGAUUGAUUUUUUAAAUUCAAAGACAGAAAAAAUUAAAUCUAUUAUGGUAGACACUGGGUAGUGGGUACCGGGAGAGGUAAUAUUUGGGGGAGGCUUGCUGGUAAUAUUUCUUGGAUAGUGUUCACUUUAUGAAAUUUCAUAGUGCUAUAUAAGAUGCACACUGUAAUCUAUGUGUUUUUCUGUAGAUGUGUUAUGCUCAAACAAAAAUUAUUUUCAGUGGCUAAUCAGCAUUUUGGCUGCUGUGCUUUUGAAGAGGGUAAGGUGAGAACAUUAUGCUAUGAUAGUACUAAAGUAUCUACUUUAAUAGUUCAAGAUAGCAAGUUCCCCUAAUCCCAGUAAGUAACUGUAGAACAGGCAAGUCCCAGAUCAAGAUAUCAGUAGAUGUGCAUAUAAAAUGUAAGGAAUUCUAGGAAUUAUAUACUACACACUUCUUAUGCUCUUGGACCACGUACUUCUGAAUCCUAAAAUAAGGAAGUUGGUGAGCAACAUGUCUCUCUCAUUAGGAAAGUCUAAGUAGGGAAGACACUCUUCUGCUCCAUGGCAUUGCUUUGUGGCCCAGGCUUGGCAAAUGGAUGCUUUGGGCCUGGUCUUUGAAUUUUUGGGGCAGCUGACAAAAUUGAAGGCAGGAAAGGAACAAUUCAGGUGUUAGGAAUUCAGUGUUGAGUACUCAGUAGAAGGAAGGAACCUUAGCAAUGGAACAUGGAGCAGCUUUCUGGGUAAGGUGUGUGUGUGUGUGUGUGUGUGUGUGUGUGUAUGGUGCUGAGGAGCUGAAUCCAGAGCCUUGUUCACGCUAGGCAAGGACUGUACCACCAAGCAAUAUCCCCGUCCCUAGGCAGCAUGUUUUUGUUGCAGGAUUUGAGUUCUCAGCUUUCAGACUUUUGAGGCUCUUCAUCAAUUCUGAGUAUACUUGAUUAUACUUGAUACUCUUCCUAAGUCCAUUUUCUGAUUAAAAUAAGCAGAGAAAGUUUUGUUAUUUACAUCCAAGCACCUUGACUAGUACAAAAGCUCGCCAGCAAAACAUUCUAAAUUCUGCUUGCAAUUCUUCACUCAAAUUUUUAUCAUAUCUCUUUUAAUUCCACUAACUAGAGAUGAAGAAGUAAGCUAUGCUCCUGUCUCAAAAAACUAACAUGCUUGCAGGGCAACUAACCCUUCAUACUUCAAUGAGAGUUCUUUCAACUCACCUUUAUCUUUAUUAGAGACCAGUACAUUAAGAAAAUAGUACAGAGGAGGGAGGAGUUAAGGAAUAUUUCAUUGCAGAGGACGGGGCAUUUCAGGAAUGGGCAAAAAUGAAGUAAAGUACCAAGGUAGGGAGGCUUAGAAAGUCAGAGGGCGCCAUGAGGUCAAGAGAUUUAUAUCAGGCAAGGAAAAGAGGAAACCAGGGAAUAGGGCUGAGAGAUAUGUGUCAGAGAGCCAAUACAAACUUUUGACAUUUCACUUUAGAUUGGCCUUUGCUAGAUGAUUUUUUUAAAUUGCAAUAUUUUUAAAAUUUUUAUUUAAAGAGAAACAAAACCAAAACAAAACAGUAAAAGGGCACACGUAAUACAGAACUUCAAAAAAUAUACAGUAAGAAAUCACUAGUUAAUAGAUUACGUAUUGUCAUCUUAGAAAUAGUUGUUCAAAUUACAAAAUUAAAGCAUACAAAGUAGACAUUCAAACAGUGAGACUGCAAACAGUUCUGUUCAAUGAUCCAACAAAAACUUAGUAAUAUGGUUUUCUAUCUUACACACUUAAAUAUACAUGCAGUUAUAUCCUUUAGAUCACUUUCUUUUCCUCUCUUUUUUAUAAUAACAAUUACACAUUUUGGGUUUUAUUACUCCCACAGUUCUUAUUACUUUUUUUUUGAAGAGAAUAAAACCAAAUGUGACAAAGCAAAACAGAGUCAACACAAGGAUGGACAUAGUACAUGAUGUAAAAACAGAAUACCAGGUGAUCAACAAUGGUUACCAUUAUGCCUCUUGCUAUCUUAAAAACAGUUGCUUAUAUCAUCAGGUAUAAUAGAAUCGAACAAAACAGUACUGAGCAAAACCAAUAAAAUCUAAACAUUGGAGACCUUACAGGACUUCAAAAGAAGAUAAUAGGCAAACCAUAAAGGGCAUCAUAGUGAAUCUUAUUGCCUUCAAAGUGGUUGCCUAUACCCUCAAACUUGAUACUAUCAAACAAAACAGAAUAGAGUAAAAUCAGUCAAAACAAGAUGGGGAGAGCAAUACAGGGGUUCAAAUCAGGUUAAUAGAAAAACAAAAAAGUUACUAUAAUAUAUCCUGCUAUUUUUUAAUUUAUCUUUUCCCUUAAUUAAAAAAUAUUUUUUUAAAAAAAGGAAAAAAGAGGAGAUUGAUAUAAAAGAGGACAUAAAAACAGAACAACACAGUUCAGAACAGAACAAUUUAAGCAUCAUAGUGCUUCACCACCAGAUAACCUGACAUAAUAGUAGUUACCAUAGUGUCUCUUUCCUUGAAAUGUUUGAGUAUAACUUCGUAUACUAUAGCAUCAAACAUAGCAAGACAGUGUGAAACCAUUCAAGAGAAUGAAAGUAUUACAGGGUAUUUAGAACAGAAAAUGAACAAUGGUUUCUAUAUUAUUUCUUUGCCUAUAAAAUUUUUUGUUUAUACUAUCACAUAUAUUAAAAUACAGUAAGAUACAACUUUUUUGAUUGUUCAUUUUGUUAGAGUAGCUAAUUAGGAGUCCUGGCCUCUUAGGGUUCUUGGAGUGAUUACAGGUGAUUUAUCAUGUUAUUACAACUCUCAGUUUAUGUUACAAACACCAUUAGGAGAAGCAGUAUGGGUUCAGAAUCUACUUUCCCAGACUAAUCUUCAUAAAACAACAGGAGUUCAUUCAGAACCAGUUAUGCCAGACUAAACUCAUUUCCUUUGUUGAUGGGGUUACUAGCCUGCUAGGCUUCAGUAGGAUAGAAACCCACGAGCCCUGUAUAGUUAAACAGAUUUAUAAUUGGUUGAACAAUCCCAUGCAAAGACUGAAGAUUAAGGGAUCUGUGUCAGUUUUAAAGGAAGUCCCUAGGCAUUUGCUGCAGGCCCCAGUCAACAUUUUUGUUAACUACCUGGAUGGGUUCACAGAGGAUGUUGCUCAAAUUUACCAAAAGGAUUAGUGGCUGUGUGGUCGACAAGAUCAGAAUUUAGAAAGAAUUUAGUAGACUGAAGUGAUGUCAUAGACAUAACAAGAUGGUAUUUAAUAGGAAUAAAUAUGAAGAUUUACACUUAGCUCUGAGAUGUCAGCUAUAUGUGCAGAG